UACAGAGGUCCCAAGCGUUGUUCGGAUUCACUGGGCGUAAAGGGUGCGUAGGCGGUCGGGUAAGUCUGAUGUGAAAUCUCACAGCUUAACGGUGAAACUGCAUUGGAUACUAUUCGGCUUGAGAGUUGGAGGGGGGACUGGAAUUCUUGGUGUAGCAGUGAAAUGCGUAGAUAUCAAGAGGAACACCAGUGGCGAAGGCGAGUCCCUGGACAACUUCUGACGCUGAGGCACGAAAGCUAGGGGAGCAAACAGG
rnacentral:rRNA from 1 species